CUCCGCGGGGCGCCGGCGUCUGCGCCAAGGCACGUUCUCCUGCUGCUCCAGAACUGCCACCUUCCAAGUCCUGAAGGAGGCCGUUUUCCUGUCAUUUGCACCUGGCCGGAGCCAUUCUGGAUGUUUUAAGGAAACGAGAAAACCAUUCUUUCCUCUUACCGGAUGAUGUGCGAUGUCAUUUGGAAACAAAGAAGGGCUCUGUUUCUUGGAGCCCCUGGGUUCUGUCUGCAAGAGGGGCAGUCAUGAGGCUUGCAAGGCAGGGAGUGGAAUCUCCUGUGCGAACCUCUUCUGUGCAGACACCUUCCCACCCAACCUCAACAGAGCCCUGUGGGCCUCCCACGCUGUGUAAGUGCGCGGACUCAUCUGAGUGCCACUAGGGGACACAGCCCAGAUUCAAGCUGGGAUCCCCAUAAUAUGUGCACCUGCAGCCAGGUGUGCCUAUAGAACCACAAAUGCGACAGGUGAGGGGAUCAUCUUAUUAUUUUCCUACUUCCGAGGCAGGACGGUACUUAAACCAUCUCAGACAGAUGGUUAACUGUCCUAUUUUAAAAUAUCUCUGGGGAGGACGAUUUCACAAUUCCCUGUGGCUGUCUGUUCUAGUAUUUAAUCAUGUUCAUUACCAGCGAGUUCUUCUUUAUGCCGGAUCUAAAUCUCCACCGUUGUGAUUUAAGUCUUUUUCCUUGAGGGUAGACGCUGUGGCUCUUCUGCUUCAGGGGAGGAGAGGAUUCUGGUGCUAAUUUUGCGGUCUUGUGAAUAAGUUAUCUCUUGUAACACCUUCUUUGGGGUUUAUUUUCUUUACUGGUAAAUGGGGUUGGAGGGUGAGUUAGGGAUGGUUCCCAAGGACUUCUCAAAUGUCAUAGCUUUUAGACAAGUGCUGCAUUGGUAUCGUGUGCAAUUCAAUACUUAGUGGAAAUAAUAACGCUUUGUUGCAUUGAAAAGCGUGUAGCUGAAAUCUGAAAUGAUGCCACGUAGACCUAGUCCAGAAAGCCAUCUAUCCCUUAGUGUCUGAGUGGGCCGUGGGAAGGAAUGAGCAGUGGAGUGGGCUGGGCCACUCACAGCUGGACCUUCCAGAAGUCACUUCAGGGUAGGCGCUCUGAUCAUCUAUUGCACAGAAAAGGGGAAUCAGGCUUUGUGGGUGCUGCCCCAGCCUCUAGCUCUGGAGAGCUCAGAAAUGAACACCCAGCAGAGGGCAGUUGUAUGGGACAGUGGAUUUUCAUCCUCCCUCCCCUUUCCUAUCUUUUUUUUUGAGACAGAGUCUUGCUUUGUCACACAGGCUGUAGGUGCGAUGUUGGCUCACUGCAACCUCUGCCUCUCGGGUUCAAGAGAUUCUCCUGCCUCAGCCUCCCCAGUAGCUGCGAUUACAGGCAUGCGCCACCACGCCCGGCUAAUUUUUGUCUUUUUAGUAGAGACAGGGUUUCACCAUGUUGGUCAGGCUGGCCUUGAACCCCUGACCUUGUGAUCUGCCCUCUUCGGCCUCCCAAAGUGCUGGGAUUACAGGCAUGAGCCACGGCGCCCAGCCUCCCCUUUCCUAUCUUUAAAAAGCAA
rnacentral:lncRNA from 1 species